AUUGAACGCUGGCGGCAUGCCUUACACAUGCAAGUCGAACGGCAGCACGGGGGCAACCCUGGUGGCGAGUGGCGAACGGGUGAGUAAUGCAUCGGAACGUGCCCAGUAGUGGGGGAUAACUAGUCGAAAGAUUAGCUAAUACCGCAUACGACCUAUGGGUGAAAGCGGGGGAUUCGCAAGAACCUCGCGCUAUCGGAGCGGCCGAUGUCUGAUUAGCUAGUUGGCGGGGUAAAGGCCCACCAAGGCUUCGAUCAGUAGCUGGUCUGAGAGGACGACCAGCCACACUGGGACUGAGACACGGCCCAGACUCCUACGGGAGGCAGCAGUGGGGAAUUUUGGACAAUGGGCGCAAGCCUGAUCCAGCCAUGCCGCGUGCGGGAAGAAGGCC
rnacentral:rRNA from 1 species